AACUGCAGAGGUGAAAACCAAGGAUUAACUACAUGGGAUAGAGAAAACAUGAACGACCUUGUGAAUGGGGAGGAAAGGAGCAAUGAGCAGAUGAUUUAAUCAGAGAUUUGAAGGAAAAGAGAUCACAUCAUGGAAGCCACACGGUAGUUGGGAUUCCCGAACAAAUUGCCCAGUUCAUCAGAAGAGACUACGCGAGCGCCGUGAUGUGUCCCUUUCCAUGGUGUGAAGAUG